rnacentral:rRNA from 1 species
AGAGUUUGAUCCUGGCUCAGGAUGAACGCUGGCGGCGUGCCUAAUACAUGCAAGUCGAGCGAACAGAUGAGGAGCUUGCUCCUCUGACGUUAGCGGCGGACGGGUGAGUAACACGUGGACAACCUACCUAUAAGACUGGGAUAACUUCGGGAAACCGGAGCUAAUACCGGAUAAUAUAUUGAACCGCAUGGUUCAAUAGUGAAAGACGGUUUUGCUGUCACUUAUAGAUGGAUCCGCGCCGCAUUAGCUAGUUGGUAAGGUAACGGCUUACCAAGGCAACGAUGCGUAGCCGACCUGAGAGGGUGAUCGGCCACACUGGAACUGAGACACGGUCCAGACUCCUACGGGAGGCAGCAGUAGGGAAUCUUCCGCAAUGGGCGAAAGCCUGACGGAGCAACGCCGCGUGAGUGAUGAAGGUCUUCGGAUCGUAAAACUCUGUUAUUAGGGAAGAACAAAUGUGUAAGUAACUAUGCACGUCUUGACGGUACCUAAUCAGAAAGCCACGGCUAACUACGUGCCAGCAGCCGCGGUAAUACGUAGGUGGCAAGCGUUAUCCGGAAUUAUUGGGCGUAAAGCGCGCGUAGGCGGUUUUUUAAGUCUGAUGUGAAAGCCCACGGCUCAACCGUGGAGGGUCAUUGGAAACAGGAAAACUUGAGUGCAGAAGAGGAAAGUGGAAUUCCAUGUGUAGCGGUGAAAUGCGCAGAGAUAUGGAGGAACACCAGUGGCGAAGGCGACUUUCUGGUCUGUAACUGACGCUGAUGUGCGAAAGCGUGGGGAUCAAACAGGAUUAGAUACCCUGGUAGUCCACGCCGUAAACGAUGAGUGCUAAGUGUUAGGGGGUUUCCGCCCCUUAGUGCUGCAGCUAACGCAUUAAGCACUCCGCCUGGGGAGUACGACCGCAAGGUUGAAACUUAAAGGAAUUGACGG